rnacentral:rRNA from 1 species
GAAGGCGGCCCCCUGGACAAAGACUGACGCUCAGGUGNGAAAGCGUGGGGAGCAAACAGGAUUAGAUANNNGGUAGNCCACGCUGUAAACGAUGUCGAUUUGGAGGUUGUGCCCUUGAGGCGUGGCUUCCGGAGCUAACGCGUUAAAUCGACCGCCUGGGGAGUACGGCCGCAAGGUUAAAACUCAAAUGAAUUGACGGGGGCCCGCACAAGCGGUGGAGCAUGUGGUUUAAUUCGAUGCAACGCGAAGAACCUUACCUACUCUUGACAUCCAGAGAACUUUCCAGAGAUGGAUUGGUGCCUUCGGGAACUCUGAGACAGGUGCUGCAUGGCUGUCGUCAGCUCGUGUUGUGAAAUGUUGGGUUAAGUCCCGCAACGAGCGCAACCCUUAUCCUUUGUUGCCAGCGAUUCGGUCGGGAACUCAAAGGAGACUGCCGGUGAUAAACCGGAGGAAGGUGGGGAUGACGUCAAGCCAUCAUGGCCCUUACGAGUAGGGCUACACACGUGCUACAAUGGCAUAUACAAAGGGCGGCAAGCUAGCGAUAGUGAGCGAAUCCCAUAAAGUAUGUCGUAGUCCGGAUUGGAGUCUGCAACUCGACUCCAUGAAGUCGGAAUCGCUAGUAAUCGCGGAUCAGAAUGCCGCGGUGAAUACGUUCCCGGGCCUUGUACACACCGCCCGUCACACCAUGGGAGUGGGUUGCAAAAGAAGUAGGUAGCUUAACCUUCGGGAGGGCGCUUACCACUUUGUGAUUCAUGACUGGGGUG